UUUGAGCGAGCCGAGCAGCAGCGGGGCGCCGGCCCGGUCCUGGCCGUAGGUCGCCAGCAGAGCCUGCGCUUC
rnacentral:antisense_RNA from 1 species